AGAGUUUGAUCCUGGCUCAGAAUGAACGCUGGCGGCGUGCUUAACACAUGCAAGUCGCACGAGAACUCUUUAGCUUGCUAAAGAUAGUAAAGUGGCGCACGGGUGAGUAUCGCGUGGGUAAUCUCCCUCCGAAUCUGGGAUAACAUUGCGAAAGCGAUGCUAAUACCGGAUAAUAUCUUUUAAACUUCGGUUUUCAAGAUCAAAGGUGACCUCUAUAUAUAAGUUACUGUUUGGAGAUGAGCCCGCGUACCAUUAGCUUGUUGGUAGGGUAAUGGCCUACCAAGGCCGCGAUGGUUAGCUGGUCUGAGAGGAUGAUCAGCCACACUGGAACUGACACACGGUCCAGACUCCUACGGGAGGCAGCAGUGAGGAAUUUUGCGCAAUGGGGGAAACCCUGACGCAGCAACGCCGCGUGAGUGAUGAAGGCUUUCGGGUCGUAAAACUCUGUCAAGUGGGAAGAACAUGUUUGAUGUUAAUACCAUCUUACACUGACGGUACCACUGAAGAAGCACCGCUAACU
rnacentral:rRNA from 1 species